GCCGGCGCGGGCGGGGGACUCGGCUCCUCGUCUUCCUCGUCGUCGUCGUCCUGCGGUGGCUGAGGUGCCUGCUGCUGCUCAGG
rnacentral:SRP_RNA from 12 species